rnacentral:rRNA from 1 species
AGGAAAAGAAACCAACAGGGAUUGCCCUAGUAACGGCGAGUGAAGCGGCAACAGCUCAAAUUUGAAAUCUGGCUUCGGCCCGAGUUGUAAUUUGCAGAGGAAGCUUUAGGCGCGGCACCUCCUGAGUCCCCUGGAACGGGGCGCCACAGAGGGUGAGAGCCCCGUAUAGUUGGAUGCCUAGCCUGUGUAAAGCUCCUUCGACGAGUCGAGUAGUUUGGGAAUGCUGCUCAAAAUGGGAGGUAAAUUUCUUCUAAAGCUAAAUACCGGCCAGAGACCGAUAGCGCACAAGUAGAGUGAUCGAAAGAUGAAAAGCACUUUGAAAAGAGGGUUAAAUAGCACGUGAAAUUGUUGAAAGGGAAGCGCUUGUGACCAGACUUGCGCCGGGCUGAUCAUCCGGUGUUCUCACCGGUGCACUCUGCCCGGCUCAGGCCAGCAUCGGUUCUCGCGGGGGGAUAAAGGCCCUGGGAACGUAGCUCCUCCGGGAGUGUUAUAGCCCGGGGCGUAAUGCCCUCGCGGGGACCGAGGUUCGCGCUCUGCAAGGAUGCUGGCGUAAUGGUCAUCAGCGACCCGUCUUGAAACACGGACCAAGGAGUCAAGGUUUUGCGCGAGUGUUUGGGUGUAAAACCCGCACGCGUAAUGAAAGUGAACGUAGGUGAGAGCUUCGGCGCAUCAUCGACCGAUCCUGAUGUUCUCGGAUGGAUUUGAGUAGGAGCGUUAAGCCUUGGACCCGAAAGAUGGUGAACUAUGCUUGGAUAGGGUGAAGCCAGAGGAAACUCUGGUGGAGGCUCGCAGCGGUUCUGACGUGCAAAUCGAUCGUCAAAUCUGAGCAUGGGGGCGAAAGACUAAUCGAACCAUCUAGUAGCUGGUUACC